UAGGCUUUCACGGAUAAGAAGAUCCCACUCAGAAGUGCCUGAUGAUAGAAUUUUGAAAUCAGAAGCGGAGACUGGGUGUUUGUGCAUGUGUUUGUGAGCGAGUAUACUAGACAUGGUUGAGAUAGAGCGUUCUUUUCCAGUCAAAGGUGAGACUCCCAUAUGCUCUGAGAUACGUGUGUGAAUGUGUCGGCGUGUUUGGCCAACAUACAAUGCGCUACAGCAUUGACACAUGAACUGAUACACAACAUGUGAUCUCAGGGCAAUGGGAAUCCUGUCUUUAAAUGGAAAAAAACUAGAAAGGCGACAAGAGGGACGGAAAACAACACGUAUGGAAAUAUGUGGAUAAGCAGAAGCAAGAACUUUACUAAGUUGUUUACGGAUAUGUAGACCAUGAUGUCCAGUGAAAGGAAGGCAAAAGUAGACAAUUUUCUUGGAACAUGUAUGAACCUUGUCCUUGGUG